UUCCAGACUCCUACGGGAGGCAGCAGUGGGGAAUAUUGCACAAUGGGGGAAACCCUGAUGCAGCGACGCCGCGUGAGUGAAGAAGUCUUUCGGUAUGUAAAGCUCUCUCAGCAGGGAAGAUAAUGACGGUACCUGAGUAAGAAGCCCCGGCUAACUACGUGCCAGCAGCCGCGGUAAUACGUAGGGGGCAAGCGUUAUCCGGAUUUACUGGGUGUAAAGGGAGCGUAGACGGCAUGGCAAGUCUGAAGUGAAAGCCCGGGGCUCAACCGCGGGACUGCUUUGGAAACUGUUAAGCUGGAGUGCAGGAGAGGUAAGUGGAAUUCCUAGUGUAGCGGUGAAAUGCGUAGAUAUUAGGAGGAACACCAGUGGCGAAGGCGGCUUACUGGACUGUAACUGACGUUGAGGCUCGAAAGCGUGGGGAGCAAACAGGAUUAGAUACCCGCGUAAC
rnacentral:rRNA from 1 species